GACGAACGCUGGCGGCGUGCUUAACACAUGCCAGUCGAACGGGCCUUGUCCCCUUUUUUUUGGGGGUGGGGUUAGUGGCGAACGGGUGAGUAACACGUGAGUAACCUGCCCCUCACUUCUGGAUAACCGCUUGAAAGGGUGGCUAAUACGGGGUGUUCUGGCCUGCUCGCAUGGGUGGGUUUGGAAAGAUUCGACCGGUUUUGGUUGGUUUGGUGGGGGAUGGGCUCGCGGCCUAUCAGCUUGUUGGGGGGGGGAUGGCCUGCCAAGGCUUUGACGGGUAGCCGGCCUGAGAGGGUGGGCGGUCACACUGGGACUGAGACACGGCCCAGACUCCUACGGGAGGCAGCAGUGGGGAAUAUUGCACAAUGGGCGCAAGCCUGAUGCAGCGACGCCGCGUGAGGGAUGGAGGCCUUCGGGUUGUGAACCUCUUUCGCCAGUGAAGAAGGUCCUGCUCUUUGUGGUGGGGUUGACGGUAGCUGGGUUAAUGAAGCGCCGGCUAACUACGUG
rnacentral:rRNA from 1 species